CCUGUUCGAGCGUCAUUUAAACCAAUCCAGCUUGCUGGUCUUGGGCUCUGCCUUCCGGCAGGCCUUAAAAUCAGUGGCGGCGCAUCUAGCUCUGAGCGUAGUAACUUUCUCGCUAUAGGGUCCUAGGUGGUAGCUUGCCAGCCAACCUCAAAUUAUCAAUGGUUGACCUCGGAUCAGGUAGGGAUACCCGCUGAACUUAA
rnacentral:misc_RNA from 1 species